rnacentral:lncRNA from 1 species
CAGAUGCCCGUAGCAGCUGAACAGAUGGAGGGGAUAUUUGUGGUAAGACUAUUCUGAAAGUCCUUGUCCUGUUCGGAAGAAAUUACUGCAGCGGUGUGUCCUGCUCUAGAAGGUGCACAGAGAGGAACAUGGCUUCUCCAACAUCAUCGUACGGAGUCGACCUUCGGUCUCCAACAGCACACGACCAGCCUCUAAAGAUUUCUAAUUACAUCAUUCCAGAUGAUUCUGUGCCAGCUGAACUUUCACUAAGGUGAAUGGAAUGGAGACGUCUUUGGCAACUGCUUCUCCUGGCAGACCUCUUUGCAUAUUGCAGUUAAAUCUCUGAAGCUCAUACAGUAUGCUGCACCUUGACCGGCUGAUAUUCAACCCCCCAAAGUACUCUCACUUCUUCUAUUCUUCCUCUGCUUGAUUUGACCAGGGUCAAAGUACUUUAUCAAGAACUUUAUCAAAGGGAGUCACCAUAAUGGUGUUUAAAAAAAAAAAAAACUCUAUUAUUAUUAUUUAGUUAUUUAGGUAGUUAUUUCAGGGAUAGCUGUGGAUUGGACUUUUUAAAAAGUAUUUAUUUGAUUCAAAGUAUUUAUUUAUUUAUUUAUUUACUUAUGCUCUUAUUUUCCACGGAAAUGUCCACUAAUACAUUUAUUUGAUUUAUUUGAAAGACCAUUAGUGCUGCACUUUAGAGACACUGUCUUAUGGUGUAUACAACACAACUCAACGCUUCUUUUUGUGAGCAAGGUCAUGAACGUAAAAUAUUGAAAUAAUGAUUUAAGCAGAAAACAAAGGUUGUGCUGCCCUCAUGUGGAAUUUAUGUACAGUCGCAUACAACACAUCAAUGCGUACAAGCACCCACUGACACUGUUUGUGAAAUAUAGAUUUAAUUAGAUUCGGAGGAAAUCAUAAAACUGUGCUUACUGUUUGGACAGAAAGGCCUUGAUUCAUUAAUGUUAUUUGUGUGAGUAACAAUAAUUUUGGGUUGUUUGAUAUAAGCAAGAAUAUUUUUUUCUUAACAGUGGUUGAUAUUUAUAGAUAAAAAUGUGACAUUCUCAAUUAACUUUUAAAUAAAUAUAAACAAAUAUUUGGGUAGUUGACAAAUAAAAGACCUUUUUUAAAAAAAAAUAAAUGCUAUUUUUUUUUUUUUUUUUAUGUAUUUUGUAGUCUGAUCUUUGAGAAAAUAUAAAGGGUCAUUAACUUUGUCAAUUCUUUCACGGUACCAUAAAUUUGUACUAUGGUGUGACAUGGCCGAAAAUUAAGAAAAAAAUUUAAAUAAAUAAAAACUCUUAAUAAUACAUAAAUAGCAUGAGAGAGAUUUUUCCAUGAUUAUGUAGUUUAACAUGCAGUUUUUAAUAAAUAAUAAUAAUUUAGGGGUGUCAAACCAAAGGACAACAAAACGUAACACUUUUGUAGUGGUUCCAAAAAAGUUAAAUAUUUGAACAAUUCUGGGACA